rnacentral:lncRNA from 10 species
UAUCACAGUCAUCAAAGCAAAUUUCUUAGGCUUAGAAGUUUCUCGUCUUUUAAAUGGAUUUGCUGUUCUUUUUUCUUUUAUACAAACCAGAAUGGCAUUUGCUAAUCAUCUCACUUUCAAGCAAGUUUACAUAUCAUAGUGUGUGUAUGUAUAGAUUUAUGUGAAUUUUCUCAAAUCACACAAAAUUAUUUUUGGCUUGCAUGUUUAAUUAUUUGCUGGGCAAAUACUUCGUAUGUAAACUCUGCAAAAACAUAUUUCUAGGCUGAGUAUAAAAUUUUAGAAUCAAAAGUAGGAAUUUCUUCAGAGAGAUGCUAAACUUGAAAAAGAAUAGAAAAUGUCGGAAUAUACUACCCAAUCCCCUGCUGCUUGAUCUUUGUCAGAGUGAAAUCAGGAUUCAGUGAUGAGGACCACAUCCUGUUGCCAUGGAAAUGAUUGUGCUGUCACAAAUAUAGUACUAUGACUUCAUGGUAAAGAGGAACAGAUGGUCUGGAAGAGAAUGAAGGCCUAAGGUUAGCACAAUUGUUUGGGGAAUAAGUCAUCUUAGAUUCUUUUUGGAAGUAGGUAGAAGCACAAAUAAUAAGCAAAAAUGACUUCACUGUAGCUUUGCAAAAGCCGCUGAGUAAGAAAGAGCUUAGCCAAGGAAAGAAUCAACAAAGAAGCAAACCCAAGGCUGAUAUCCUUAGAAGAGGCUGCUUAAAGAUUGACUCUUUCCUGACAUCUGGGAACCUGGCUUGUGAAAAGUUCCCCAAACCAACAUGAAAAGUCUCCUGUAUUGAUAAGGCUGUUUUGCCCUUGAGGCACUGAAUUACCACUUCCUUCAGAGAGUCUGAUAUUUUGACAGUUUCCAGGCAGAGAAUGCCUUUUAGCACUAGCCCCCAAGAAAAACCCUAAACUCUGAGUCUCAAAUGGGACACACACACACACACACACACACACACACACACACACACAUUGAAUUCAUAUUGUCAUUGCCAACUUUAUUUAGAACCACAGGAUUUAUUUCAGUCUUCUCUGCUUGCUUGUUUGUAACUUUUUUCUCUGACAGUGAGAAAGCUGGCUUCCAUUAACUACAAUUUAUUUACUUAUUUGUUCAGCCUUAGUAUACAUGUAAAGUAGUUUCAGAACUGCUAACUUAUACUCCUGCCUGAAACAUAAUGACCAAUUAAAGAAAAGCAUUUAUGCACAGUUGAUUUUGCUUUAGCUUUACAGUAUCCAGUUAAAACACAUUUCCAAAGUUACUUAGGUCAGCUCCUUUUUCCCCAACCGUUUUAGUCAGGUUAUGUCAUAUAAUUGUAACACAGAUUUGUCAGUCUGCAUUUCAUCCUGGAAUCUCCCCACAUCGUGGUUGAUUUUUUAAAAAAAUGUACACAGUAAAUUUCACUUAGGUUUAUAAUACAUUAUACCUUAGUUAGAAUAAAUGUACCUUUUGUGAAUGUGGACAAAUGCAUAGAGUCAUGAAUCUACCACCACAGUAUCUUGCAAAACUGUUCUAUUACCCUAAAAAUUGUCUUGUGUGAUCCCUUCGCAGUCAACCUCUUC